UACGUAGGGUGCGAGCGUUAUUCGGAAUUACUGGGCGUAAAGCGUGCGUAGGCGGUUCGUUAAGUGCGUCGUGAAAGCCCCGGGCUCAACCUGGGAAUGGCGAUGGAAACUGGCGGGCUGGAGUAUGGCAGAGGGGGGUGGAAUUCCGCGUGUAGCAGUGAAAUGCGUAGAGAUGCGGAGGAACACCGAUGGCGAAGGCAGCCCGCUGGGCCGAUACUGACGCUGAGGCACGAAAGCGUGGGGAGCAAACAGG
rnacentral:rRNA from 1 species